rnacentral:tRNA from 1 species
GACCACGUAGCUCAGUUGGCAGAGCAUUGGACUAGUAUCCCAAAGGUCGCGGGUUCGAUUCCCACAGUGGCCA